rnacentral:rRNA from 1 species
GCGGGCCUACGGGACGCAGCAGUGAGGAAUAUUGGUCAAUGGACGAGAGUCUGAACCAGCCAAGUAGCGUGAAGGAUGACUGCCCUAUGGGUUGUAAACUUCUUUUAUAUGGGAAUAAAAUGUUCCACGUGUGGGAUUUUGUAUGUACCAUAUGAAUAAGAAUCGGCUAACUCCGUGCCAGCAGCCGCGGUAAUACGGAGGAUCCGAGCGUUAUCCGGAUUUAUUGGAUUUAAAGGGAGCGUAGGUGGAUUGUUAAGUCAGUUGUGAAAGUUUGUGGCUCAACCGUAAAAUUGCAGCUGAAACUG